rnacentral:sRNA from 1 species
CGCCGAGGACGAGCCAGGCAUACCUCGGCAACGAGAAGGAUAAUGA